rnacentral:rRNA from 1 species
UACAGAGGUCUCAAGCGUUGUUCGGAUUCAUUGGGCGUAAAGGGCGCGUAGGUGGCGGGGUAAGUCAGGUGUGAAAUCUCGGAGCUCAACUCCGAAACUGCGCUUGAUACUGCCUUGCUCGAGUACUGGAGAGGAGAUUGGAAUUUACGGUGUAGCAGUGAAAUGCGUAGAUAUCGUAAGGAAGACCAGUGGCGAAGGCGACUCUCUGGACAGUUACUGACGCUGAGGCACGAAGGCCAGGGGAGCAAACAGG